UUGGGAGCGGGGUUCAGGGCAGGAAAGUCUCUUAAUUUGUUCAGAGCUGAAUUCUAGGUUCAAGGAAAGGGGGAAAGUAAUUGAGGUUCCGUCUUAGAACUGGGUCAAAGAUACAAAGAGUUCAAAAAUUGCCUUCCUGCCAGAAAAAAAAACAGAAGACUUCAGUUUUUCGAGAACGAAUGGAAGUGAAGGAGCAUGGGAUACUAAUGUAAUUAUUAUAAAAUGAUUAUCUCAGCUCCAAAGAAAUGAUUAAUCAGUUCCUGAGUGGGGAGGAAGGUGGUGGAGCAGAAGAGAAAGGGUGAUUUAGUUCUGAAACGGGAUUUGGUUUGACAGCUUGGCUCAUCUGGGACCCUUCGGUUUUCAGGGAGGCUGAAAAUAUAUCAAGGAGCAUAGAAUAAAAGGGAAGCAUCAUGGCUUAAACAUUUUAAACAUCAUUUGUUCUUUGUAGACUCAUGAACACUGACUUUGGCUAAGGCAAGGAAGAUCUGCAGUUCCUUCAAUAUUGUUAUUCUAUUUGUGAGUUUCUAGAUAAUUUUAUGCUAAGCUAUCGAAGUAGUUUUCAAAAGAGAAUAAUUAUUUGGAAGAUUUAUUAUUGUCCCAGGUUUUCUGUAUUUCAAGGAUGUAUCUUCAAAAUCAAUGAAAACUUAGAACUUUAAAAAUAGUUAAAUGUAAUUUUUUUCAGAAUUUUUUUUUUGCAGAGGUCUUCAGAAAUUUCUUGUGACGUUGCAGAAGAUACCUCUAGAAUCUGUGUGGUGAGAACAUCACUGUAGUGAGAGAUGUCAGUCCAUGAGAUAUAUAUUGGGGUGAGUUGGUUAGGAUCAGUCCUUCUUGUACUGAAUAAAGUACUUACACAACCUGUUUAUUAACAUUUUAAUUGAUUGAACUAUAUGCCUGAUAUGUAUAAUUGUUUUUCCAAAGUAGUAUACUGAAUUUUAGGUUACAUUGAUUAUGAAAUAAAUAAGCAUCAACCUUU